rnacentral:rRNA from 1 species
UACAGAGGUCUCAAGCGUUGCUCGGAAUCACUGGGCGUAAAGCGCACGUAGGCGGCUUUCUAAGUCAGGGGUGAAAUCCUGGAGCUCAACUCCAGAACUGCCUUUGAUACUGGAAAGCUUGAGUUCGGGAGAGGUGAGUGGAACUGCGAGUGUAGAGGUGAAAUUCGUAGAUAUUCGCAAGAACACCAGUGGCGAAGGCGGCUCACUGGCCCGAUACUGACGCUGAGGUGCGAAAGCGUGGGGAGCAAACAGG